CCCAACAUACCAAAAAUACAAUACAGCUUGAGAAUAAUAUUAUGAAAAUAGUUUAUCGUAAGAAUUCCUCAACAAUGCUAGAGAAAAACUUUUUUGCACAAACUUUUCUCAAAUCUGUCCUUUGUUGACAAAUUUGUUUUGAUUUUUUUUUUUUUUUUUUUUUUUUUGAAAAUUGUCGACAAAAAAAAUAUUUUCUUUGGUUAAAAUCAAAAUCACGCGAAUUUAAGACUCAUUUCUGGACGAAACUCUAAGAAUAGAGGCGUCAAAAAGUUGCAAGAAUUCAAGAGAAGUGAAGAAUUAGUGGAGGAGAUGCGGAAGCUCAAAUAAGGGGAAAGAAAUCAUCUAGGUAUCAAUGCAACAGGAGGCAGCGACAGCUGGGAUGGCGAUCAAUGAAUGAAAUGUGUAAAAUAAUUAAAAAAUAAAUAUUUUAUACCAUUGAAAAAAUAAGCUUGAUAUAAUAUUACUUUCGUAAGCUUAUUCUGCAAUUACAAGAAUAAGCUUAUGAAUAAGGGUUCCCUUUCGAUUAUUCUAUAAUUGUUAAACAAGCAUUUCUCAAUACAUUCUCAAGAUUUUCUCAA